rnacentral:rRNA from 1 species
GACGAACGCUGGCGGCGUGCUUAACACAUGCAAGUCGAACGGAAAGGCCCUGCUUGCAGGGUACUCGAGUGGCGAACGGGUGAGUAACACGUGGGUGAUCUGCCCUGCACUUCGGGAUAAGCCUGGGAAACUGGGUCUAAUACCGGAUAGGAGCCAUUCUUAGUGUGAUGGUUGGAAAGUUUUUUCGGUGUAGGAUGAGCUCGCGGCCUAUCAGCUUGUUGGUGGGGUAAUGGCCUACCAAGGCGGCGACGGGUAGCCGGCCUGAGAGGGUGGACGGCCACAUUGGGACUGAGAUACGGCCCAGACUCCUACGGGAGGCAGCAGUGGGGAAUAUUGCACAAUGGGCGCAAGCCUGAUGCAGCGACGCCGCGUGGGGGAUGACGGCCUUCGGGUUGUAAACUCCUUUCGCUAGGGACGAAGCUUUUUGUGACGGUACCUAGAGAAGAAGCACCGGCUAACUUCGUG